GUGGGGAAUAUUGGGCAAUGGACGAAAGUCUGACGGAGCGACGCCGCGUGAGUGAAGAAGGCCUUCGGGUCGUAAAGCUCUGUCAUCAGGGACGAACGGCCGGUGGAGUGGAAAGCCACCGGAUUGACGGUACCUGAGAAGGAAGCCACGGCUAACUACGUGCCAGCAGCCGCGGUAAUACGUAGGUGGCAAGCGUUGUCCGGAAUUAUUGGGCGUAAAGCGCGCGCAGGUGGGAUCUUAAGUCCAUUUUUAAAGUUCGGAGCUCAACUCCGUGAUGGGAUGGAAACUGGGAUUCUUGAGUACCGGAGAGGAAAGCGGAAUUCCCCGUGUAGCGGUGAAAUGCGUAGAUAUGGGGAGGAACACCAGUGGCGAAGGCGGCUUUCUGGACGGUGUCUGACACUGAGGCGCGAAAGCCAGGGGAGCGAACGGGAUUAGAAACCCGUGUAGUCC
rnacentral:rRNA from 1 species